rnacentral:lncRNA from 1 species
CGCACCCCCAACAAGCAGACCGCCGCCGCCAGCAGCAUGGCCGCGCCGCUGCUCCGGCAAUGGCGCCGCCUCGCCGUGCUCGGCGCCCUCCUCGCGCUCCACCUCGCCGCCGCCGUGGCGCAGUCGCCACCAGCUGCACCCACGACCCCUGCUGCUCCCACGACCCCGGCUGCACCCACGACCCCUGCCGCACCUACGACUCCGGCUGCACCCACGACCCCUGCCGCACCCACGACCCCUGCCGCACCUACGACUCCGGCUGCACCCACGACCCCUGCCGCACCCACGACUCCGGCUGCACCGACGACCCCUGCCGCACCCACGACACCGGCUGCACCGACGACCCCGGCUGCACCCACGACCCCUGCCGCACCCACGACUCCGGCUGCACCGACGACCCCUGCCGCACCCACGACGCCAGCGACGCCGGCGCCCACUGCCACCCCGACAACGCCAGCGCCGACCGCCACCCCUGUGGCGCCAGCAAAGCCGCCGCCGGUCGCGCCAGCCAAACCCCCUCCGGUGGCGCCACCACCGGUCACGCCACCCCCCACGACGCCACCCGCGGUGCUCCCACCCGCCGUGCAGCCGCCCGCCGCGGCGCCUCCGCCGACGGCCACGCCCCCGGCCGAGGCGCCCGCGUCGCUGCCUCCCGCGACGACGCCCCCGCCCGUGGCCGAGGCCCCCGCGCCGCCCGCGGAGAUACCGCCCGCCGAGGCGCCGUCCAAGGGCAAGAACAAGCACAAGAGGAGGAAGAAGCAGCACGGCAAGAAGGAGGCGCCCGCGGAAGCGCCGCAGCCGCUGAGCCCGCCUGCUCCCG